AAGGCUAUGUGUAACUGGCGAAACACGGAUCACCGUGAGGGAGCAUAUAGCGUCGAAGCCGUUCGCCUGGGCAAAGGUA
rfam:Bacillus weihaiensis strain Alg07 chromosome, complete genome.